AUUGAACGCUGGCGGCAUGCUUUACACAUGCAAGUCGAACGGCAGCGCGGGCUUCGGGCUCGUCGCGAGUGGCGAACGGGUGAGUAAUAAACCCGAGCGUGCCCUGUCUUGGGGAAUAGCUCGGCUACAGCCGGAUUAAUACCACAUCCGACCUGAUAUUGAAACGGAGGGAUCUUCGGACAUCGAGGGAUUUGAUGUGCCGAUGGCAGAUUAGCUAGUUGGUUUGGUAAAGGGCUACGAAGGCGACGAACCGUAGCAGGUCUGAGAGGACGACCGGCCACACUGGGACUGAGACACGGCCCAGACUCCUACGGGAGGCAGCAGUGGGGAAUUUUGGGCAAUGGGCGAAAGCCUGAUCCAGCAAUGCCGCGUGAGUGAUGAAGGUCUUCGGGUUGUAAAGCACUGUUAGCAGGAACGAAAAGAACUGUACCAAUACAACGGUGCGAUGACGGUACCCGAAGAGAAAGCACCGGCUAACUACGUG
rnacentral:rRNA from 1 species